rnacentral:rRNA from 1 species
CCUACGGGAGGCAGCAGUGAGGAAUAUUGGUCAAUGGACGAGAGUCUGAACCAGCCAAGUAGCGUGAAGGAUGACUGCCCUAUGGGUUGUAAACUUCUUUUAUAUGGGAAUAAAAUGUUCCACGUGUGGGAUUUUGUAUGUACCAUAUGAAUAAGGAUCGGCUAACUCCGUGCCAGCAGCCGCGGUAAUACGGAGGAUCCGAGCGUUAUCCGGAUUUAUUGGGUUUAAAGGGAGCGUAGGUGGAUUGUUAAGUCAGUUGUGAAAGUUUGCGGCUCAACCGUGAAAUUGCAGUUGAAACUGGGAGUCUUGAGUACAGUAGAGGUGGGCGGAAUUCGUGGUGUAGCGGUGAAAUGCUUAGAUAUCACGAAGAACUCCGAUUGCGAAGGCAGCUCACUGGACUGCAACUGACACUGAGGCUCGAAAGUGUGGGUAUCAAACAGGAUUAGAUACCCUUGUAGUC